UUGCCAGCGGGUCAUGCCGGGAACUUUAAGGAUACUGCCAGUGACAAACUGGAGGAAGGCGGGGACGACGUCAAGUCAUCAUGGCCCUUACGGCCAGGGCUACACACGUGCUACAAUGGUCGGUACAAAGGGUUGCUACCUAGCGAUAGGAUGCUAAUCUCAAAAAGCCGAUCGUAGUCCGGAUUGGAGUCUGCAACUCGACUCCAUGAAGUCGGAAUCGCUAGUAAUCGCGGAUCAGCAUGCCGCGGUGAAUACGUUCCCAGGUCUUGUACACACCGCCCGUCACACCACGAGAGUUUGUAACACCCGAAGCCGGUUGGCCAACCUUUUAGGAGGCCGCUGUCGAAGGUGGGAUGGAUGAUUGGGGUGAAGUCGUAACAAGGUAGCCGUACCGGAAGGUGCGGCUGGAUCACCUCCUU
rnacentral:rRNA from 15 species